rnacentral:misc_RNA from 1 species
GAAAGGGCUUGUCAUGUUCAACAAUUUCUGGUAUCAAAGCUAGGUUAGCCAACAAUUUGGUGAAAGGUUUCUUUGCUGAUAAGAUGAAUGAUCUUCAAGUUGUUGGAAGAAUCAAGAGGCUCAACAACCAGAAUUACAACACAUGGGCAACGUGCAUGACUUACUACACGCAAGGCCAAGACCUAUGGGAGGUUGUCAACAGUAGCCAAGUUAUAUAACCAGAGGCAAAGGAUGCAAAUGGUGCCUUACAGAAGUGGAAGGUAAAAGCAAUCAAAGCAAUGUUUGCUCUAAAGACUACAAUAGAAAA